GUUGUCCGGAAUUAUUGGGCGUAAAGAGCUCGUAGGCGGUUUGUUGCGUCGGCUGUGAAAUCCCGAGGCUCAACCUCGGGUCUGCAGUCGAUACGAGCAAACUAGAGUGUUGCAGGGGAGACUGGAAUUCCUGGUGUAGCGGUGAAAUGCGCAGAUAUCAGGAGGAACACCGGUGGCGAAGGCGGGUCUCUGGGCAACAACUGACGCUGAGGAGCGAAAGCGUGGGGAGCAAACGGG
rnacentral:rRNA from 1 species